rnacentral:piRNA from 1 species
UUGUAGUGUGGGCCUCAAGUUGGACC